GAAAUGCGAUAAGUAAUAUGAAUUGCAGAUUUUCGUGAAUCAUCGAAUCUUUGAACGCACAUUGCGCCCUUUGGUAUUCCAAAGGGCAUGCCUGUUUGAGCGUCAUUUCUCUCUCAAACCUUCGGGUUUGGUAUUGAGUGAUACUCUUAGUCGAACUAGGCGUUUGCUUGAAAUGUAUUGGCAUGAGUGGUACUGGAUAGUGCUAUAUGACUUUCAAUGUAUUAGGUUUAUCCAACUCGUUGAAUAGUUUAAUGGUAUAUUUCUCGGUAUUCUAGGCUCGGCCUUACAAUAUAACAAACAAGUUUGACCUCAAAUCAGGUAGGACUACCCGCUGAACUUAA
rnacentral:misc_RNA from 1 species